AACGAACGCUGGCGGCAGGCCUAACACAUGCAAGUCGAACGCUCCGCAAGGGGAGUGGCGCACGGGUGAGUAACACGUGGGAACCUACCUUCUGGUACGGAACAACCAAGGGAAACUUUGGCUAAGACCGUAUACGACCUCCGGGUGAAAGAUUGAUCGCCGGAAGAGGGGCCCGCGUCCGAUUAGGUAGUUGGUGAGGUAACGGCUCACCAAGCCUUCGAUCGGUAGCUGGUCUGAGAGGAUGACCAGCCACACUGGGGCUGAGACACGGCCCAGACUCCUACGGGAGGCAGCAGUGGGGAAUAUUGGACAAUGGGCGCAAGCCUGAUCCAGCCAUGCCGCGUGAGUGAUGAAGGCCUUC
rnacentral:rRNA from 1 species